rnacentral:rRNA from 1 species
UACGUAGGGGGCAAGCGUUGUCCGGAAUUAUUGGGCGUAAAGAGCGUGUCGGCGGCCCGGUAAGUCCGCUGUGAAAGUCGGGGGCUCAACCCUCGAAUGCCGGUGGAUACUGUCGGGCUCGAGUCCGGAAGAGGAGUGUGGAAUUCCUGGUGUAGCGGUGAAAUGCGCAGAUAUCAGGAGGAACACCAAUGGCGAAGGCAGCACUCUGGGACGUGACUGACGCUGAGACGCGAAAGCGUGGGGAGCAAACAGG